AUUGAACGCUGGCGGCAGGCCUAACACAUGCAAGUCGAACGAGUGGCGGACGGGUGAGUAAUGUCUGGGAACCUGCCCGAUGUAGGGGGAUAACUACUGGAAACGGUAGCUACUACCGCAUACCAUCGGAUGUGCCGAAAUGGGAGUAGCUAGUGGGUGGGGUAACGGCUCACCUAGGCGAAGAUCCCUAGCUGGUCUGAGAGGAUGACCAGCCACACUGGAACUGAGACACGGUCCAGACUCCUACGGGAGGCAGCAGUGGGGAAUAUUGGACAAUGGGCGCAAGCCUGAUGCAGCCAUGCCGCGUGUAUGAAGAAGGCUUUCGGGUUGUAAAGUACUUUCAGCGAGGAGGCGUUACUCGCAGAAGAAGCACCGGCUAACUCCGUGCCAGCAGCCGCGGUAAUAC
rnacentral:rRNA from 1 species